rnacentral:lncRNA from 1 species
AUCAGAGUCUGCCAGCUCUUCUGUUUGGACAUCUAAUCUUGCUCUUGUCUUCUGCAUUGCUUCAAGAAUCUGCUUCAAAGCUCUGAGAUCCUUUCCGGACUUCCUGAACUCGAGUUCAGUUAUCCUUUUCUCCAUUUCACCAUACACCGAGGAAGAUAGCUUUGGACUCUGAAUUGACAGUUCCACAUCUGUAUUUCUUGCAGAUGACUUGAGGGGAGUUCUGCAGGCCUCCGGUUGCCUCCAGGGAGCAGGUUCUAGUGGAAGCCGUGAAGUUGAUGCUGCUCUCAUGAUUGAAUUGGUAGAUUUCAUUCGUGGGGAGCCGAAAUCCUUUUCAUUAAUCUGUGAGAACCGUGUGACUUGAUUAUUCUUGCUCUUUUCAGCUGUUUUUAUUGAUACUGAAACAGAAUUAUUGGUAGAGAAAGACUUAGGUAUCACUGUAUCGACUUCAUUUGAGGGAAUGGAAUUUGGUAAAGCCUCCAAG